AGUGAACGCUGGCGGUAGGCCUUACACAUGCAAGUCGAACGGCAGCACAGUAAGAGCUUGCUCUUACGGGCGGCGAGUGGCGGACUGGUGCGGAAUACAUCGGAAUCUACUUUUUCGCGGGGGAUAACGUAGGGUAAUUCACGCUAAUACCGCAUACUGCCUACGGGUGACAGCAGGGGAUUUUUGGACCUUGCGCGUUUGAAUGAGCCGAUGUCGGAUUAGCUAGUUGGCGGGGUAAAGGCCUACCAAGGCGACGAUCCGUAGCUGGUCUGAGAGGAUGAUCAGCCACACUGGAACUGAGACACGGUCCAGACUCCUACGGGAGGCAGCAGUGGGGAAUAUUGGACAAUGGGCGCAAGCCUGAUCCAGCCAUGCCGCGUGCGUGAAGAAGGCCUUCGGGUUGUAAAGCCCUUUUGUUAGGAAAGAAAAGCAGCAGGCUAAUACCCCGCGGUACUGACGGUACCCAAAGAAUAAGCACCGGCUAACUUCGUG
rnacentral:rRNA from 1 species